CAUCCGCCUCCAAUAUCACUGAGGUAGUGGAAGUUGCUGCAACAGCCACCUCCAAUAUCACUGAGGUAGUGGAAGUUGCUGCAACAGCCACCUCCAAUAUCACUGAGGUAGUGGAAGUUGCUGACCUAGGGGUAGAACCAGAGGCUUUUCCAACCAUUUUGGAGCAACUAAUGAGUACUUCAUCCCCAUGGGGAGCAUCUUUCAUUGAAGAGAGCCACCGGGACCUUCAACGCUCACCGGCUAGUGCAGAUAGAGGGAGUAUUGGCAAAGCACGGACACCUAUAUCUGGAGGAAGCAGCUUCAGCCUGGAGACUGCCCGCCGGCGCUUCCGGCAAUUCUGUUACCAAGAUACUGAGGGUCCACGAAAGGCAUGUGGUCAGCUCUGGGAGCUUUGCAAUCAUUGGCUGAAGCCAAAGAAUCGCACAAAGGAACAGAUUCUUGACGUCCUAAUCUUGGAGCAGUUCUUGGCUGUUCUCCCUCCUGGAAUCCGAAGUAGGGUAUGGGAAUGUAGCCCGGAGACUUGCGCACGGGCAGUGGCCCUAGCAGAGGAGUUCCUAGCCAAGCAGAAUGAAGCAGAAAGACCAGAGGAGGAGGUAAGAUGGGAUUUUGACUUAUUUGAGGAGGUAGUGGUGACAUUUCCUAAUGAAGACCAAGUCCUUUCAGAUACUGAGCAUGGAGAUAUAUGCAUGGAAACUGGACAGCAGGUUGAUGGAGACAUAUGUUUGCUUGCAGGUGCCCAGACUCCCAACAGGGCAGAUCCUCAGAUGAUAUUUGGAGAAAGACUCAAUGGCGGUGUGCAGCAUUUGGCUCCGAAGAGGAUACGGAUAAGAGAGAAACGGCACCCUUGCAUUGAAUGUGGGAAGCGUUUCCGUUGCCAAUCAGAACUGGCCCUACAUCAAAAAGUCCACACCCGGCCCAAAUCCUAUCACUGCGCUGAAUGUGGGAAACAGUUUGGUCGAUCCUCACAUCUCACCAGGCAUCAGAAAACCCACAUGAGUGAGGAGUGCCAUGUCUGCAUCGAAUGUGGCAAGCGAUUCCGGUGGUCCACGGAGCUAGUCAUCCACCAGAGGAUCCAUGCCGUUGAACAGCCGCACUACAACAUGGAUGCUGACACUUUGGGUCAGUGGCCCUCCGAGUUCAGUAUAAUGCAGAAUAUUUUUACAGGUGAGAAAGCUCCUCCCAAUGGCGAGAUGGUAAAACCUCACACAGUCAAGAAGCCUCACCUUUGCCCUGAAUGUGGGAAAGGGUUCCGGUGGCCCUCUGAACUCGCCGCUCAUCAGAAAACUCACAACAAGAACAAGCACUACCUCUGUCCCGAGUGUGGGAAGGGAUUCCAGUGGCCCUCAGAGCUGACAGCCCAUCAGAGCACCCACACAGGCAACAGUUUGCCUCCCAUUGCUGAUUGUGAGAACAGCAUCAGCCAGCCACCUCAUCAUCCUCCCUACCUGGGAACUGGCAUGACAGAGAAACGCCAUGCUUGCGGAGAAUGUGGCAAGGCGUUCCGAUGGCCAUCGGAACUUGCCACCCACCAGCGCAUCCACACAGGAGAAAAACGCUACUUCUGUACAGAGUGUGAGAAGGGGUUCAUAUGGCCUUCAGAGCUGGCCGCUCACCAGCGAACCCACACUGAGAAGCAAGCUUACCAGUGCACGGAGUGUGGGAAAAUAUUCCAUGAUCUCUACGGUCUCACGAGACACCAGAAGACCCACCUGGGAACCAAGGUCUACCCUUGCACCGAGUGUGGAAAAACCUUCAGUCGGCAAUCCCAUCUGACUCGGCAUCGGAUCACCCACACUGGCGAGAGACCCUACCCGUGUAUUGAAUGUGGGAAACGGUUUGGCCGACAGUCGCACCUCACUCGGCAUCUUAGAAUUCACACCGGAGAAAGACCCUAUCAGUGUGGUGAGUGCGGAGUGAGGUUUAGGCGGAGACACAGCAUGAUGUACCAUCAGCGGAUCCAUUUGAGAGAGUCCAGUGAAGGUCUGGACAUGAUGAACCCUCCUAACGCAGAAAGCCUCGUUGAUCCUCUCCUGAGUCCUAUCCAUGUCACAAUUUGACACGUUGGGUGGUAGAGAAGUAAUUUCAGAAGGAACACGGGAUGGGUGAGUGGGACACUUCGAUCACAACAUUUGGAAGAGAUUCUCGUGGUUAUAUUAUUUCACCAGGGUCUGUAUCACAGACAGGGUCCAAGAGGCACACGUUUCAGGAUUCCAUACAGCCUGGCAGAGAAUGCUAGCACAACAGGGCCUGCGAUUUGUGUAAACGCUGUAAAGGAUUCUGGGACAAGAUGCCUACGCUGUUCUCUUGACCAUGAAUUGCUCUGUAGUUGGGCUGAAAAACAGGGCUGCCCCCCAGAAACAGAUCUGGUAGAUUGGUGGCCAGGUUUAGCCCUGUGGUCCUAAUUUUAGAUCUGGCUCCUGCAGAGCUUCGAUAGCGGGAAAGAAACAUUUGAUAGCCAGGAUGGGUCUCCCCUUGCUACUCAUAUCAGGCAGUGCAGUGUUUGUUCCCUGGAACACCUUGUGGUGGGGUAUUGGACAGAAUCUGCUUUUCUCACUUCCUUCACUUCUUUCUGUGGCACAUAUGUGGGUCAAGCUGGGAUUGUUGCGAUGAGAGAACUCUGUGGGGCCAUCAUGUUGUUCCUUGCAGGCCAGGGCACUCCUUGCUUUUACACUGUUGGUAUGUAGAAAGAAAUCAGUAAUACUUUUCCCACUCUUACGCUGUUGCAGUGUGGAAAGCUGACCUUUCCCACUUUUUAAAAUAAUAAUAAUAUAAUAAUAAAAACCUCUUUAUGUGCAAGAGUCUGAUUUGGAAUUGAAUCCAACAACCUAUUACUUCAGUGGCAACUCUUCAUUUCUAACAAUCCUCCCAAGGCAAAGAAAUCAGCUAAUCAAUCUAUUUUGAAAGACAACAUGGUAGGCUCUCCAAAGAUACUUUCUCUGAGAUACUUUCACUCUCCACGGCACUUCUGUUUUUCCUUUCCUCUUUUCUUGGGAAAUCUGGGUGAAAUUUCCUUCCUUCCCUGGGGGCUAAAUUACUUUAAUGAAAUAAGGCAGUGCUUGGGCCUUCAGAGCAGUGGUUUUCAACCGUGGCAAAUUUCAGAUAGGUGGACUUCAACUCCCAGAAUGUUGAUGUACUGGGUGGGGAAUUUUGGGAAUUGAAGUCCACACAUCUGAAAUUGACCACGGUUGAGAAAACUUGCUUCAGAAGAAAAGAAGAGCACAUUCACUUUCACUAUAUUGCUAUAGCUUUCCCUCACCUGGGACUCUGCAGAUGUCUAGAAUGGCAUUUCUUUUUAUCCUUAGCCACCACGGUCAUGCUUUUGGGGUGAUGUGAGUUAUAAUCCAACACGUAGAAAGAUAGCAGAUGUAGAAAGGCUGAGCUAUUAUUUAUUUAUUAUUUUUGAGAGUAUUUAUCUCGUUUUUUGUUUUUUUUUUAAAUCCAAUAAGGCCAUGAAUUAAAAGAAACUACAUUGCAGAGUAGAGUAAAAUCACUACAAAAUAACAGCUGGACCAAGCUGUUGUUUCACCAUCAAAUAAUAUUAAAAUUAGAGAUAUGACGAAAGGUUCUAUAACCUACAAUAUUUCUAAAAUGUCUUGAGGAAUGGCAAUAUCCACACGGCCGCCUCUGGAAGGCAAUCCAGAAUGAUGGGUUGGUUUUUUUCCAUAAAGGUUUUUUUUUGUUUGUUUUUUAGAGUAAUGGUUCUGUGGAAAAUAUUUGGUACUUCCAACAUAGCUUCUUGGUGGAGGGAAUGUAAUCCCACACAUAGAAAGAUAGCAGAUGUAGGAAGGCUAAACUAUUAUUUAUUAUUUUUUGAGAGUAUUUAUCGGGGUGUGUUUUUUUUUUAGUCCAGUAAGGCCUUGAAUUAAAACAAACUACAUUGUAGUACAGUAAAAUCGCUACAAAUAACAGCUGGACCAAACUGUUGCUUCACCAUCAAAUAAUAUCAAAAUUAUCAGAGAUAAUGAAAGGCUCUAAAACCUACAAUAUUUCUAAAAUGUCAUGAGGAAUGACAAUAUUCACACAGCCUCUUCUGGAAGGUGAUCCAGAGUGAUGGUUCUAUGGGGAAUAUAUAUAUAUAUGUGUGUGUGUAUUUUGUACCUCCAAUGUAGCCUCUUGAUGGAGGGAAUGAUUUGAGAUGUGAAGGCUUUGGUUGGAAAACAGAUGUUGCCUUAACCUAGUUCUGCAUUUCUGAAAUGGUUCAGUCCUAUGUUUAUUUACUUAGAAUUAUAUUCCACUCUUUCAGGGGGAUUUACUCCCUAAAACUAUUUGGACAUAAAACUAAGAAACCAAAAUAUUUGGCCUAUAGAUAGGAACAAAGAAGAAUAUAUUUUUGUGACUCUGUUAUCAAAUGUGAACAGAGAGAGAGUUUUGAAACCGAAAUGGAAAAGGUACCUUCAGAAGAGUUAGAGGUGAAAGACCACACUUUGUGGCAGUUUUUGUUCUAAGAUCUUUUCUCUCUCUCUCUUUGUAUUGGCUUUGUAAUGAUAAGGGAGAUCUCCCCACCAACUUUUUUUUUUUAAUCCAUCUUGGAAAGUAUGGAAUCCCUGAAGAAUGAACAUCCUUUUGGAAAUAAUUUCAGAAUAAAGAACUUUCACAAUUA